AAGGUCAGUGGGGACAGACAGGAACUGUGAAUGUCCAUAUAAGGUCAGUGGGGACAGACAGGAACUGUGAAUGUCCAUAUAAGGUCAGUGGGGACAGACAGGAACUGUGAAUGUCCAUAUAAGGUCAGUGGGGACAGACAGGAACUGUGAAUGUCCAUAUAAGGUCAGUGGGGACAGACAGGAACUGUGAAUGUCCAUAUAAGGUCAGUGGGGACAGACAGGAACUGUGAAUGUCCAUAUAAGGUC